AUUGAACGCUGGCGGCAUGCCUUACACAUGCAAGUCGAACGGCAGCACGGGAGCAAUCCUGGUGGCGAGUGGCGAACGGGUGAGUAAUAUAUCGGAACGUGCCCAGUCGUGGGGGAUAACGUAGCGAAAGCUACGCUAAUACCGCAUACGAUCUAUGGAUGAAAGCGGGGGAUCGCAAGACCUCGCGCGAUUGGAGCGGCCGAUAUCAGAUUAGGUAGUUGGUGAGGUAAAGGCUCACCAAGCCGACGAUCUGUAGCUGGGCUGAGAGGACGACCAGCCACACGGGGACUGAGACACGGCCCAGACUCCUAAGGGAGGCAGCAGUGGGGAAUUUUGGACAAUGGGCGCAAGCCUGAUCCAGCAAUGCCGCGUGCAGGAUGAAGGCCUUCGGGUUGUAAACUGCUUUUGUACGGAGCGAAAAGGCUUCCACUAAUACUGGGGGCUCAUGACGGUACCGUAAGAAUAAGCACCGGCUAACUACGUGCCAGCAGCCGCCGUAACAC
rnacentral:rRNA from 1 species